CUGGUAGAAUACAAGAGGUUUGUUGCCUACUUUGGGAGUAGGAGGUCGCUAGUUCGAAUCUGGCCUACCAGA
rnacentral:tRNA from 2 species